rnacentral:rRNA from 1 species
GAUGAACGCUAGCGGCAGGCCUAACACAUGCAAGUCGAGGGGUAACAUAGGAAAGCUUGCUUUUCUGAUGACGACCGGCGCACGGGUGCGUAACGCGUAUACAACCUACCUUUUAGCGGGGAAUAGCCCAGGGAAACUUGGAUUAAUGCCCCAUAGUAUAUAGACUUCUCCUGAAGUUUAUAUUAAACAUUUAUGGCUAUUAGAUGGGUAUGCGUCCUAUUAGUUAGUUGGUAAGGUAACGGCUUACCAAGGCAGCGAUAGGUAGGGGUCCUGAGAGGGAGAUCCCCACACUGGUACUGAGACACGGACCAGACUCCUACGGGAGGCAGCAGUGAGGAAUAUUGGACAAUGGGCGAGAGCCUGAUCCAGCCAUGCCGCGUGCAGGAAGACUGCCCUAUGGGUUGUAAACUGUCUUUUACAGAGGAAGAACCCACCCCCACGUGUGGGGGUUUGACGGUACUCUGCGAAUAAGGAUCGGCUAACUCCGUG